UCUUGAAAUUCUUGCCUGCGUAUUUACAUUGUAAUUCUUGAAUGCUUAUUUAAGGAACUUGAUGGUAUGCGUGGGAGUUGCUGGGUUUUUGAGGGGUCUUGUGUAAGGUUCUUGAGGAGUUGGUUUUCAACAGCACCUCAAGGCUGGUGCGACCAAGGUGCACUAAUUUACCCUUUCUAAAUUUCAAUGUUCUUUAUGAUUUUUACAAAGAUGUGUAGUUGUUCUUGAAGGCCCCACUCGAACAACUCUAAAAAAUAAAAUUAAGUAGUUCAAUAGUAAGAAAUUGUGAUUUGUAUUAUUUUAAAUGAAGACACUUCUGUUAGUGUCUUAGACUUUGAUUGUUUCUUAAAAAUGGAAAAGUGUGCUACCUAAGAAAUAGGGAAUUAUUUGGUUCAUCUUUUUUUAUUUUGUAAAUGUUUUGAGGAUCAGUAGAGGUGAGCUGCUGAGAACUUUUAAAUGUUUAGACUAAUUGCACCUGUGAAUUUGUGUGUUGCUCGCACAAAAGGCAUUGACCAGUGAGGCACUUCAACGAAUUCUCAUGUUCCUUUGUUUGCUGCUUCCUUAUAGGGCUGUUCUUGUGUUUGUUGUUCUUAUAAGUAGUGUACUCCUAGUUUGAACUUUAACCCAGUUUCCACUUUCCAUUCUCCACCCGCUAGGUAUCUGUUGCUAUAGGCAUUGGGACCUGCUAUGUUAAGGUGGUAUCAGUUCCUUCCCCACCCCUUACUAAACGACCCUUUUCAUGAUAUUACUCAUGCACUCCCUCUUUUGUUAUUCUUUAUACUCACUCUACUCGGUUUUAUACACAAUGAAGAUUUAGAGGUUUUCAUCUGUCGAUGUUCAAUCAAACAUGUUGCUUGUCCAGCUAAAGAACUGUUAAUUUGGCAUGGCACUUCAUGUUUUGGGUUUAUGAGAUUUUUCGAGAAAUUUCAUUUUUUGGUCUUCCUUUUCUGUCUCAUAGGCAAACUGAUGCUUGCAGCCAUGAUGGGUUUCAAAGCUUUUGAGCUAUCAUGUUUGGGCGUCCCAAAGUUCAAUUUUUUUGUUGGUAAAUCACCCUUUUGUGAAACUACACGACCUUCUACUUUUCUUGUUCUUUUAUUACUCUCUCUUGUAUAACUCAAAAAAAGCAAUUUAGCAUGUUCUCUUUGAGCUGAAAAACUGUUGAUUGGCAUGGCAGCUCAGGUGGGUAUAUGAGAUUUAGGAGAAAGUUCCAUUUCAUGGUGCAUUUUCUCUGUCUCACAAGGCUUACUGAUGCUUGCAGGCAUGACAGACCGAUGCUCGCAGUCAUUCUGGGUGUCAAAGCUUUUGAGCUAAUCAUGUUUGGUUGUUGCAAAUUCAAUAUUUUUGUCGCUAAAUCAUCCUUUUUAUGAAACUACACGGCCAUCUUCUUUCUUGUUCUUAUUACUCUCUCUUGUAUAACUCAAACAAGACAAUUUAAAUCUCUCUUGAGCUGAAAUACUGUUGCUUGGCAUGGCACCUCAGGUGAGUAUAUGAGAAUUAGGAGAAAGUUCCAUUUCAUGGUGCAUCUUCUCUGUAUCAUAAGACUAACUGAUGCUUGCAGCCACGGACAGAUUCCAAAGCUUUUGAGUUGUUUCGUGUUUCGUCUUAGAAAAAUUCAGUUUCCUUCCCACCCUCCCCAAACCACCCUUUUCGUGAAAUUAAACAUGACCUUCCUCUUCUUUUUUUUUUAUUACUCUCACUGCUCCGUUUAUUAAACCAUGAGGAUGUGGAGGUUGUCUUUUUGUGGAAGUUCAAUAAUUCUUCUUGCUCUUCAGGUGGGUUUAUAAGAUUGGAAUUAAAUUUCCAUCUCAUGGUGUUUCUUCUCCAUCUCACACGACUGAUUGAUGCUUGUAGCCACGACAAAUUUCAAUUCUUUUGAGCUUAUCAUGUUUUGGCUUUGUAGAGUUCAAUUUUUUUUUCUUUCACCAAACCACCAUUUUGGUGAAAUCACACACGACCUUCCAUUUUUCUUAUUUUUAGUGCUAUUUCCAGUAUAACUCAAAUAGGGCAAUCAAACCUGUUCUCUCUUGAGCUGAAAAACUGUUUUUUGGCAUGGCAUCUCAUGUGGGUCUCUGAGAUUUUUGAAGAAGUACCAAUUCUUGGUGGUUUUUCUCUGUCUCUUAAGGGUAAUUAAUGCUUGCAGCCAUGACAUGUUUCUAAGUUUUUGAGCUGGUUCGUGUUUUGGGUUGAGUUUCUUACCCAUCCCUCAUCGUACCACCCUCUUUGUGAUAUUACACAUGCACUUUCUCUUCUCUUGUUCUUUGUACUCACUCUGCUCCGUUUUAUAUACAAUGAGUAUUUGGAGGUUUCAUCCAUCGAUGAAUCAAACAUGUCUCAUGUCAAACUAAAGAACUUUUGCUUGGCACGGCACUUCAGGCGGGUCUAUGAGAUUUUGGGAAAUGUUCCACUUAUUGGUCUUUCUUCUCUGUCUCCUAGGCAGACUGGUGUUUGCUGCCAUGCUGGGUUUCGAAGCUUUUGAGAUAAUCAUGUCCGGGCAUUGCAAAGUUCAAUUGUUUUGUCACUAUAUCAUCCUUUUGGUGAAACUACAUAACCUUUUGCUUUUCUAGUUCUUAUUACUCACUCAUGUAAAAUUCAGAAAAAGCAAUUUAACAAGUUCUCUCUUGAGCAGAAAAACUGUUGCUUGGCAUGGCACCUCAGGUGGGUAUAUGAGAUUUAGGAGUAAGUUCCAUUUCAUGGUGCAUCUUCUCCGUCUUAUAAGGCUUACUGAUGCUUGCAGCCAAGACAGAUUUCAAUGUUUUUGAGUUGAUUUGUUUUUCGGCUUGGCACUUCCUCAAAUCACCCUUUCCGUGAAAUUAGACAUGACCUCCUUUUUUUGUUAUUCUUAUAACUCUUUCUCCUCUGUUAAUAAACCAUGAGGAAGUGGAGGUUUUUUUCUUUUGUGGAAUUUCAAUCAAACUUGUUUUCUCUCAAGGUGAUUAAACUGUUGCAUGGUAGUAGGUACGACACCUCAGGUGGGUCUAUGAGAUUUUGGAAUUAAAUUUCUAUUUCAUGGUGUUUAUUCUUCAUCUCACUUGACUAGCCAAUGCUUGUAGCCACGACAGAUUUCAAUGUUUUUGUUCUAACCGUGUUCUGGCUUUGCAUGUUCAGUUUUUUUCUCUCACCAACCUCCCUUCUGGUUAUAUUAUGCAUGACCUUCCAUUUAUUUUAUUACUCUCCCCGUAUUACUCAAAAUGGCAAUCAUUCAAACAUGUUCUCUCUUGAGCUGAAUGACUGUUGCUUGGCUUGGCAUCUCAUGUGGGUUUGUGUGAUUAUGGGGAAAGUUCCAUAUCAUUUUGUACUUUUCUCUGUCUCACAAGGUUAACUAAUGCUUUUGCAGCCAUGACAGGUUUCUAAACUUUUGAGCUGAUUCAUGUUUCUUUCCCACCCAUCACCUAACCACUUGCACUCCCUCUUUUCUUAUUCUUAGUACCCACUCUGCUCCGCUCUAUACAUAAUGAGAUUUGGAGAUUUUCAUCCAUUGUAUUCAAUCAAACAUGUUGCUUGUCGCGCUAAAGAACUGUUGCUUGGCACAACACUUCCAGUGGGUCUGUUAGAUUUUGGGAUAUGAUUCCAUUUUUUGGUUCUUUCUUCGGUGUCUCAUAGAAAAACUGAUGCUGGCAGCCAUGUUGGGUUUCGAAGCUUUUGAGCUAAUCGUGUUUGGACGUCUCAAAGUUCAAUCUUUUUGUCGGCAAGUCAACCUUUUGGUGUAGCUGCACGGCCUUCUACAUUUCUUGUUCUUAUUACUCUCUCUUGUUUAACAUGUUCUCUUUUGAGCUAAAAUUUGAUGCUUGGCAUGCCACCUCAGGUGGGUAUAUGAGAUUUAGGAGAAAGUUUCAUUUCAUGGUGCAUCUUCUCUGUCUCAUAAAGCUAACUGUUGCUGGCAAGUUCAACUAUGAAAGAUUUCAAAGCUUUUCAGUUGAUUCGUGUUUUGGCUUGGCAAAGUUCAUUUUCCUUUCACCCCACCCCAAACCACCCUUUUUGUGAAAUUGCACAUGCCUUUCCUCUUUUCUUAUUCUUAUUACCCUUUCUGCUCAGUUUGUAUACCAUGAGGAUGUGGAGGUUUUGUCUUCCCUGGAAGUUCAAUUGAACUUGUUUUCUCUCGAGCUGAUGAAACUGUUGCUUGGCACGGCACCUCAGGGGGGUCUAUGAGAUCUUGGAAUUAAAUUUUUAUUUCAUGGUGUUGCUUCUCCAUCUCAUACUGUGAGCUUAUUUGUUUAUGAUUUUUGGACUACCAGGAAAAGGAAAAGAAAGAUGUAGGUCGCUUGAAGAUGAAACAGAAUAUUUGAAGUUUAUGUUCUCUUUGCUUUUCACAUUUCAUAUUGUUUCUUACUUCAUUUUUUUCCUUUUAAUUGUGGAUCCUUAUUUUUGCUCUCACAGAACCCAAAAAUGCUCUUUGCAAGCAAUACAAGCAAUCAACUUGAAUAAUGUAAGCUUUUAGCUCAGUGCUGUCUUUAUUCAGUUAUAAAUUUUUGGAAGUCAUUUAUAUUCUGGACUGAUUUUCUUGAGCCUGAGGUCUACCCUUAUCUUGGCGAGGCAACCCAGUAAGGCAUCUCCGUUGGGAAACCGAGGUCUGCUUUCAUGGGGGUUUCUUUGUCUCCUUUUUGCCUUAGAAAGAAUCGGCCGAAUGACGCUUGAAGUUUUGUGAAUUCCCUUUCGUUAGGUUAGCCUAAAAAGGCAAGAAUGAGGCAGCAGAGAGCAUGAUAUUACUAUCAAGGUUGGUUGCCCCUCUCUCUCUAUGCUUCGCCUGCGAUUCUCCAUUUUUUAAAACAAACCAAAAACCCUAAAAAAAGAGGGACAGAGAGAGUGCACUUGAGUUUCUGGGUUUCUUUGCAUUUUUGCACCCUUGGACGUAUGCUCAUAUGGCGACAGACAACUAUACUACAACAACAUGACUAUGAAAAUUAUUAAAGAGGCAGUGAUGAUUUCUGGGUUAACUAAAUUCGGGCAAUGAGAUUACCCAACCCGUAUCUUGGUGCGGCAAUCCGGUAUGGCCUGUAAUUGAGACGCAGAACUCACACAUGCAAUCAUGUAUUGCAGCCACGGCGUGGUUGGCUUCUCUUUGGCCUUCUCAUAAUACAAAUCUGAGCCUCAAUUUGCUAAAGAAAAAAAAGGGUAAAGGGUCAAAUUUACACCUUUACUAUGCAUAAUUUGCAAUAUCUUUUCCAUGAUUAAUGUGGGAGAUAUUGAACCCACACCCUUCUGAUUAGCUGUUUUAAUGCUUUUCAUUCGUAGUGUAUCUCCAUAUUUUGUUCUUGAAGGCCCCACUAGCACAAUUGCAAAAAAAUUUAUGUAGUUUAACGUAAGAAAAGUUGUGAUUUGUAGUACUUUGGAUGUAGACACUCAAUUGGACAUACUUACGUAAAUGCCAUCAGUGGUCAUUUUCCUUCACAUGGUCUUGAUUUUUUUAUUGUUUCUUAAAAGUUGAAAUUGUGACUUGUAAGAGAAUGAGGAAUUGGACCUGCUGUGGUAAGGUGGAUGACAAUGGUAAGUAUUACUUUCUUUGACAUUGAUCUGAUGCACUUUGAUGUGCAGUUUCUUUCUUUUGAAGGAUCAUCUGAUGUUAACUUUCUUUUGAAGGAUCAUCUGAAGUUGUACCUUCAUUUGAAGAAUCAUCUGAAGUUGUACCUUCUUUGAAGGAUCACCUGGAUUUGUACUUCUUGUUGGACAACUUCUUGAGUCCCCCCCCCCCCACUAAGGAUCGGGGUAAGGUCUAUCUACCAAUGCUAGCUUUUAAUUAUAGCAUAAGGCUGUGAUGAUGACAUAUGAGGUUGAAUAGAUCUUCAUCUUUUCUUAUUCGUAUUACUGUCUGCUCUGUUUAUAAACUACGAGGAUGUGGAAGUUUUGCCUUUUGUGGAAGUUCAAUAAAACUUAUUUUCUCUCGAGCUGAUUGAACUGUUGCUUGGCACUGCAUCUCAGAUAGAACUACGAGAUUUUAGAAUUAAAUUUCUAUUUCAUGGUGUUUCUUCACCAUCUCAUUCGGCUAACUAAUGCUUGAAGCCUCGACGGAUUUCAAUGCUUUUGAGCUUAUUGUAUUUUUGCUUCAUGAAGUUUUUUUUUUCAUUAAACCACCCUUUUGGUGAAACUACACAUCACCUUCCAUUUUUAUCUUUUAGUACCCUCUCCGGUAUAACUAAAACUGCAAUCAAACAUUUUCUCGCUUGAGCUGAAAAACUAUUACUUCGCAUGGCAUCUCAUGUGGGUGUGUGAGAUUUUGGAGAAAGUUCCGUUUCAUGGUAUUUUUUCUCUGUCCCACAAGGGCAACUAAUGCUUGCAGCCAUUCCAGAUUUAUAAGCUUCAAGGGUAACUUUUGCGGCCAAUACUUGGGUCGGGCAUUGGAGCUACCCUUAUCUUUGCGAGGCAACCCUGUAAGGCAUCUCCAUUUUGCAACUGAGGUCUGCAGCCAUGCCGGUUGCUUUGUCUUCUUUUGGCUAGUUUAACGAAUUUGAGCCUUAGGAGAAAGAAUUGGCCUAAUGACACUUUACGUCUUGUGAAUUCCCUUGUGUUAGGUCAGUCUAUAAAGGCAAGAAUGAAGCAGCAGAGACUAUGGUAUUUCUUAUCAAGGUUGGUUGCCCUUUUCUCUAUGUUUUGCCUAUGAUUCUCCAUUUUUGAAAAACAAACCAACAGCCCUUAAAAGAGAAAGAGAGUGAGAGAAUACACUCGAGAUCUUGCCUGCAUUCUUCUUAAGAAAAUUAUGUUUUUAAGGAAUUCAAAGAAACAGUAGUUUUCAAGAAUGUAUUGGCAUGGUACGAAUUAAAGGAAAUUCAAGAAAUCUUUAAUUCUCCUUUUUGCCUGGUUUAAUCUGAGCAUAAGGAGAAAGAAUUACUCAUUUAUUAUUCAUCGCGUAAUAAUCCACAUAUUAUUAUUUACCACAGAGCAGUUUUUACGUUAUUAUAACAGCAUAACUAAUACUUCAACAAGUAAUGUCUUCCUCUCUUAUAUUGCAAUUUUGUGACAUUACUGUAGAAAAAAAGACUGAUAUAUAGAGUGCUUUAUCAUGCUUCUUCACUUUGUGAUGGUCUGGUGAAAGUAUAUUUUUGUGCAGAAACUUAGGUCCAUAUCAAAAUAAAUGUGCGUCCCUUUUUACAUAGUCAAGGUUUAUGAUUUUUUUGUUUGAUUCUUGCAUUUAUCUUCAUUGAGCAUUAUAGUCAUUGUGAUUUUCUUCAGCAUGCUGAAGAUGAGUGAAUUCGUUUGGAAGAAUAACGUGAGAAGGCAAUGAUUGUCUAAUAAUUCAUUGAAAUGUAAUGGAGUCUGUACUUUAUUGUAUUAUCAGGUCCUAUCUUGAAAAAUCAGGACAAGAACCUAUCUUGAUUCUGAGCAAGAAUUGGUAUAUUCAUUUUGAUAGUUGGUAACAUUGGUUUGGAGUCUGGUGGGGAAGUUUUGAAACUCUUUAUGAUAGGUAACAUUGAUUUUGAUUUUUGAGUCUUUUACCACUCUUUUUUAGUUCAUGCCUGAAAUAGCAAUUGCUACUCAACUAUGCUGAUCAAAUUCUAAAUUGGUGUUGGGGGAUCUGCAAUAAUCAUUCUCAAGCUUCAAGAUCAUUUACCAGGUAAGAUAAGAUCUUUGUUUAGAUUUUCAUUUCACAAACCAGUCUAUGGAACUUGCCAUUUACCAGAAAUUCCAUUUCUCUAAAUUUUUCAAUGUUCAUUAAAGUUAAACCUUACUCCGAGCAUGAAGUUACAUGUUUUGGUUAAAGCAGGAACUUAAAUCUGAUCCAGUGGAAGCUAACAUCUGUCACGCUUUUCUAAGCUUUUGAGCUGAUUCAUGUUUUGAGUGGAGUUUCUUUCCCAUCUCUCACCGGACCACCCUUUUCGUGAUAUUACACAUGCACUUCCUCUUUUCUUGUUAAUAUUACUCACUCUUCUUUGUUUAAUACACAAUGAUGAUUUGGAGGUUUUCAUCUAUUGAUGUUCAAUCAAACAUAUCUCAUGUCGAACUAAGAAACUGUUGCUUGGCACGGCACUUCAGGCGGGUCUAUGAGAUUUUGGGAAAUGUUCCUUUUUUGGGAUUGCAUGCAUUACUCAACUAAUGGGCUGUUUGACGGUUUUGUUCAUUAAUAUCUCACUAAUAUUUUUUUUUUUUUAUAGAUGUUCUUUAUUUAUUAUUUUGUGGUUUUACUUGUAAUUGGGAGAACUGGUAUGACUGUACACAACACAAAACAUUAACGCUUACAUUUUAUUUUGGUUUUAUUGCAAGAUGUUUAUGUAUAUCACAUUCCUGGUACUUCGUUUCCUGUAAAAUACUUCCUUUACCUGUACCGUGUCUAGAAAAAAAAUACGGAAUGGCCGGAGGGGUGCACACACACUCAGAUACAUACAAAGAGAGAUGAAAUAUAGUUUUUGUUGCUCACUAAUGUAUGUAGAAUGAAGUAUGGUUGGGACAUACAUUUUGGUGCGUGUAGAAUGAAGUAUGGUUGGGACAUACAUUUUGGUGCGUAGGUACUUCUAGCCAAUCUUAUGGAGAGAAUAUGUGCCUGUUUCUUUCAUCUUCUGUUGCGUUUCCUUUUUGUCUGGCCAUUUUAUCUUAUGGUUUUGAAUGCUUGCUUUACACCCGUGACGUUGAAAAUACACCAUUCAAAUGAUAUGCAUGCUUUCCCAGCAAGCUUUGAUUGAAAAGGAGAGGCUCUAAGCUCUUAGAUUUCUAACGUUUCUUUAUUGGAAAUUGGUAGUUAAACUCACGGGAGGCCAAAUGGAUAUUGUAAGGUUUUAAAGGUACAAUUCUUUUGCGUCUAGUUUCAGUAUCCAUGAGGAUAUGUAUGAAACUACUAAAUUGGCCUUUGUUCUUGCCAUUCUUUACAAGAUGACAGCAAGUGUUUAUACCUUGAUUAUUGUAGACAAAAUAAUUGUACAACAGGUAAUCUGCAUAUAAGACUACCUGAUACAUGAGUUGACUGUUGUUUACUGAUAAAGGAAAUUUCUUGGGAUUUCUCUUUGCAGUCAUUGUUCGUGAUGCUAUUACAACCAAUCAGUUCGAAGGAAGCAAAUGUAGUCGAAGUACUUCUAGUUUCUGACAAACAAAUAUAAAAUAUUGAAUUACACACAUUACUUUCUAAAGCUGUACUAUUUCUUGAUUGAUCUUUUUGUUUGCAUAUAUAAUCUGAAAGGCCAAAGAGGGUGUUGCAUUCUAUGAAAGAGUCUCUGCUAAGAAUCACCUCUGUGCUUUCCAAUGUCUCCUUCAAAAUUUCCAUUUUUGUUAUUUUUAGUACUCUUUCCGGCAUAACUCAAAAUGGCGAUCAAACAUGUUCUCUAUUGAGCUGAAAAGCUUGUGCUUGUUAUGACAUCUCAUGUCGGUCUGUGAUACUUUGGAGAAAGUUUCAUUUUAUGGUGUUUAUUCUCAGUAUUAGAAGGUUGUGGCUAAAUGAUGCUUACAGCCAUGAAAGCUUCUAUGCUUUUGAGCUGAUUCAUGUUUUGACCUGACAAUGUUCAGUUCCUUUCCCACCCCUCAUUGAAUCACCCUUUUCGUGAUAUUGCACAUGCACUCCCUCUUUUAUUGUUCUUACUACUCAGUCUGCUCCGUUUUAUAUACAUUGAAGAUUUAGAGGUUUUCAUCUGUCGAUGUUCAAUCAAACAUAUUGCCUGUCCGGAUAAAGAAUUGUUGCUUGGCACGAUACUUAAAGUGGGUCUAUGAGAUAUUUUGAGAAGUUCCAUUUUUUGGUCUUUCUUCUCUGUCUCAUAGGCAAACUGAUGCUUGCAGCCAUGCUGGGUAUCAAAAUUUUUGAGCUAAUUAUGUUUGGGCAUCGCAAAUUCAAUUCAUUUGUCGGUAAAUCACCCUUUUUGUUGAACUACACAACCUUCUACUUUUUUUGUUCUUAUAUCUCUCUCUUGUAUAACUGAAGAAAAAUCAAUUUAGCAUGUUCUCUCUUGAGCUGAAAACUGUUGAUUGGCAUGGCAACUCAGGUGGCUAUAUUAGAUUUAGGAGAAAGUUUCAUUUCAUGGUGCAUCUUCUCCGUCUCUUAAGGCUUACUGAGACAUGACAGGCCGAUGCUCGCAGCCAUUCUAGGUGUCAAAGCUUUUGAGCUAAUCAUGUUUGGGUGUCUUAAAGUUCAAUAUUUUUGUCGCUAAAUCAUCCUUUUUUUGAAACUACGCAACCAUCUUCUUUCUUGUUCUUAUUACUCUAUUGUAUUACUCAAACAAGGCAAUUUAAUCUCUCUUGAGCUGAAAUACUGUUGCGUGGCAUCACACCUCAUGUGGGUCAUGAGAUUUUGGGAGAAAGUUCCAUUUCAUGAUGCGUCUUCUUUGUAUCAUAAGGCUAUAACUGAUGCUUGCAGCCAUGACAGAUUUUAAAGCAUUUGAGUUGGUUUGUGUUUUGGCUUAGCAAAAUUCAGUUUCCUCCCCCGCUCCCCCAAACCACUCUUUUCGUGAAAUCACACAUGACCUUCCUCUUUUUUUUUUUUUUUAAAAAUUAUUCUCUCUGCUCCGUUUAUAAACCAUGAGGAUGUGGAGGUUGUCUUCCGUGGAAUUUCAAUAAUUCUUGUUUUUUCUCGAGCCCAUUAAAUGAUGCUUGACACCACUCCUCAGGUGGGUCUAUGAGAUUUUGGAAUUAAAUUCCAUUUUAUGGUGUUUCUUCACCAUCUCACACGGCAAGUUGAUGCUUGUUGGCACGACAGAUUUCAAUGCUUAUGAGCUAAUUGUGUUUGGGUUCGCGAAGUUCAUUUUUUUCUCUUACCAAAUCACCCUUUUGGUGAAAUUGCUCACGUCCUUCCAUUUUUCCAAUUUUUAGUACUCUUUCCGGUAUAACUCAAAAGGGCAAUCAUUUGAGCUGAAAAACUAUUGCUUGGCAUGGCAUCACAUCGGGAUUCGUGAGACUUUUGAAGAAGUAUUAUUUAUUGGUGUUUUUUCUGUCUCUCAAGGUUAACUAAUGCUUGCAGCCAUGACAUGUUUCAAUACUUUUGAGUUGAGUUUAUUUCCCAUCCCUCACUGAAAAACCCUUCUUAUUGCACAUGCACUUCCUCUUUUCUUGUUCUUAGUACUCAGUUGCUCCAUUAUGUACACAAAGAGGAUUUGGAGGUGUUCAUCCAUAAAUGUUCAAUCAAACAUGUCUCUUUGACGAAGUAAAGAACUGUUGCUUGGCACAACACUUCGGGCAGGUGUAUGAGAUUUUGGGAAAUGUUCCAUUUUUUGGUCUUUCUUCUCGGUCUCAUAGGCAAACUGGUGCUUGCAGCCAAGCUGGGUUUCGAAGUAUUUGAGCUAAUCAUGUUUGGGCGUCGCAAAGUUCAAUUUAUUUUGUCGAUUGCAACUGUACCCGAAGAGCACGGAAACAUCCACGUGGCAAUACUAUUUAGGUAUACUGAAUCUAUUUAGUGCCUACGUUGAGGAAGGCAUUGCCAAAAGCACUGGUGCACAAGGCUCAAGAUCUAUACUAGAAAUUAUUUUGACUGAAGCCACGUUUGAGGCUGCUGACUUAAAUGUCAAAGCAACUCAGCAAGGGGUUGUCUAGAUAGAGGAAGUUGAUAAUUAGCCAAAAAGUUCAAAAAUUAUUAUCUACAUGGAUAUGAAUAAUCGAGUUUGAAGUCAUCCUUAUAAUUAGUCACCUGUUUAGGCUGAGAGCCUUAACAUUUGCAGAGAUUUAUCUGAGAAGGAUGUCCAACAGGCGCUGCUUAAGAUGCUUGAAGGAACUGUGGAUUGUAAGUGUACCUGACAAUAGAGCAUGGAAGAUUCCACCUGGCGAUACUAUUCAGGCAGUAACAAAUACUACAUAUAUAUGGCAAUUUCUGAUUUUCUAAAGGAGUUAAGCAAAGAGGGUUUUAAACUAAAUGUUUCUGGAUUGGCUGUGAAAUGGUUGGAUGAAAUUCAAAGAAUGAAACAAUCUUAGCUUCUUGGACAAAUAUGCUUGGUGUCUUGAUAGGAGAAUAACGGUUUGGGAUAUCAGGAUCGAUAUAUUAAGAACAAACUCCAAAAGAUGAAUCACUAGAAUUGUUGUUUAUUCAUGGUUAUAUUAUUACAAAUCUGGCAUAUGGCUGAAAACAUCCACCAUGAUGAUCACCUGUAUGAAGAUAAUCCCCCCCCCCCUCACCCGAUGGUCCUAGUAUAUAUAUAUAUAUAUAUAUAUAUAUAUAUAUCCCUUGGGUAAGUAACAACUGUUUCUCUCUGUAACAUUUUCAUAUGUAUUUAGCCAACAAAGAAUGAGUCAAACUUUGUUUUCAUUUAAACGUGUAAUAUACAGUUGCAAUGCACGUGUCAAGGACUAGUAUAACUAAAAGAAUCAAUAAAAAUUGGAAAGAAGAACUAACCUUAGAACAUGGAUAGACUCUUGAAAGUUGAAACAAAGUGAAAAGUGAAGAAAACACUACAAAAUUAUUAAAAUUCAAGAGAUACACAAAGAUAUUUGUCCACAAUUUAGAUAUUCAUAAUUACUAAUCAAUAUUCAAUACACCAAGUAAAAGUGUAAAACAUACUAUUGAACAAAAAGCAAGAGAUUGUCUCAACUUAAUCCAUAACUUAAAAUUAACAUAACAACAAAAUAUUGUCAAUUAUCAAGUUAUUUAAUUAAGUUAGCUAUCUCUUCCACAUUUUCUUCAACUUAUUCAAAAUCUUCAAACUCUUCCUCAAAUAUCACACUUUCAAUUUGAGGAUCAUCUAUUGAAAGCUGGUUAGAUCAUUGGUUGUCUCAUCAAUAUCAAAUCGAUCUCCACCUAAAAUAAAUUAAAAAGAAUAAAUAUAUUAGAAGAUCUUAUAUAAAAAGAAAAGAACACCAUUUAAACUAAAUAAUUGAAGAAAAUAUAGACAUACCAACAUUCCAAUAUUUGCUUGGCCCAUUUAUAUAUUUCUCUUUCUUGCGAGACAACAACCGAAGAUUAUAAUGUACAAACACUAAAUCUUCGGCUCUUGAAGUUGCUAAGUUAUUUCUCUUGAUAUUGUGAAUCAAAGAAUAUGUACUCCAAUUUCUUUCACAACAAGAGGAAGAAGUCGGUUGAGUAAGCAAUUUGUAAGCUAAUUGUUGCAAAAGUAGAGCCGAGACCCCAUGAUUUGCCCACCAAGAAAGAGAAUCUUCAUACAUCAUAGCCUCAAUCACAUGAGGCUCACUAAAAUAGCCAUUUCCACUACGAAAGGAUCUAUACUCCAAUGAGGCUUGUUUCAUUUCAUUAAAAUCUUUAAAGUACCUUUGAAAGCACUUGACUCUAUUCAAUGAAAUUUCACUAUCUUCACUGGGAGCUAGCUUUUGAAUUCCAUUCUCUCCUUAAAGCCAUGAUUCAUGAUAAUAUUUGGGAACCAAAGAAUGUGCCAUACAAUGUAGAGGUGUGUUACUUUUGUUCCACCUAGCUAGUAUCAAAAAAAUUUGAUUGACCGGAAAUGAGAUUUCUCCCUCAUGCUCAAAGAUGACUUUCUCAAUCAUUGAGUCCCACAUAUCAUAAACGAGAUGUAAUUUUGGACCAUCAAUAUCGGCACUUCGUAGCAUAUCAAUAAUUGGUUUCGUAAAUUUCAAGAAACAGUCAAUACUAUCGCUUUUUUCAUCAUUCAUUAUAAGGGUUUUUUUAUUUCACGUGUCUUGGCUUCAAUUUCCUUAUCCCCCUUAUAAUUAUUCCAUUCAUCAUCCAUGACCAUUUUCUCCAAAGCAGAUUUUACUUAGCGAAUUCGGGUGGUCAUAAUGAUGUGUGAGGCAAAUCUUGUUUCACCAACCUUCAACAAACACAAAUCCGAAUGUUUUUGAAAAAGUGCAUGUGCCGUGUCAUGGUUCACAACAAAAUUCUUUAAAUUACUCAUUUCACUAAGUAACUCUAAAAUUCAUUUACAAUUAGUAAAGUGAGGUGAUUUUUUCGAAGGUUGGCACAUACUUUUCAAAGUUGGAUUCAAACAAUUAACAACGCAAAUAGUCCAAAAUAUAUGAGGAUAUUUUUGCUCCACUAUAGUACCGGCAAGUUUCAUAUUACUUGCAUUAUCCAUAAGAACUUGAACAACAUUGUUUGAACCUACAUUUUCUAUUGCUUCAAUAAAUAAGUUAGCAAUAUAUCACCAUCUUUUAUGAUUCCACUAGAAUUGAUUGAAUUCAAAAACAUUGGACCUCCACCAGAUGAUGUCAUUAUAUUGAUCAAAUGUCGUCUUUUAGUAUCGGACCAUUCAUCCAAACAAAUCGACAAUCCUUUCUUUUUUCAUGUAACUUUUAUUGGUUGCAACUUUCUAUCAAUAUGUGUUUUUUCUUGAGCUAAAAGAGUUGACCUCAAUCUAUUAUAUGAUUGGGGAAUAUAACCGGGAAUGAAAUUUUCGGCUAGAAACUUACAAUAUUUUUUUAAAAUAAGGAGUGUUGACAAAGUUGAAUGAUAACCCUAAUGCGUAGAACAACCUAGCGGCUAAUUUGUCGGCCGCAUUCCUCUCAUAGAUACCGAAUGAUUUUGCGGUAGCUCCACUACUCAAACUCUUUCAUUUUUUUUUGUUGAAUUAGAUCAGUUCCCUCCGGAAGUGAUAUAUAAUCAGCUUUUUUCUUACAUCAACUUGAACAUUGGUUCGUUUUCUUUCUGCUUGUUCAUGCUCCAUCAUCAAUAUCGCGUAUAUACCACCACUACUUUCUUUACAUAUUUGAACACCAUGUCCCAAUAAUCUCAAAAGAUUUGCUUUCACCCUAUUAUAUGAUCCCGUAACUAUUCUAUUACAAUAGUUACAAGACUAUGUCCUAUUCUCAUCCCCAUUUGGAACCAUCGGAAUAACUUUAACAUGAUUCCACGGAGGUUUAUCAUCAAAAUCUAUUCCUACACUUUAUGUAGGUUUCAUAAAAAUCUUCUUUUUUUUGACUACUUGAUGUCAUCUUGUUAAAUUAAGGAAGAUGAGUUUUUUUUUGCUUACAAUUAACUUGAAUGAAAAACAAAGAAGAAACAAUGGUGUUUUUGGUUUUGGGAGGGAAAAGUAGGUGAGUAUGAAAUUUGUUCAGACUAGAUGAUGAGUGAUGGGAUGUUUUUUUUGACUCCUACUCUACUUGGAAAACUUUUGAGCUUUCUUUUUUCAUCAUUCAAGAGGAGUGUAUGUAUAUUGUAUACAUAUAUUUUUACUAUUAUUAUUUGAAUUGUUUUUAUAGUUCUAAUAGAAAAAUUUAUGUUAUCUAAUUUUUAUUUUUCUGAGAACGUAUGGGUAUAAUGCUUUUAUCUAAGAAUUAAGUAGUUUUAAUAUUUUUUUAUACUUAUAUUUUUAAUAUUUCGAUAGUUUGAAGCUUGUAGUGAUAGAAAGAACAAAAAAAUCUAAUAAGAUGAGAUCUUUAAAGCGUUUGUAAUGAUAGGAAGAAUUUAGUGAUCUAGCAAAACAUGAUCCUUGAUCUGGAUAUGAUAUUGUACGUGAAACUUUAUAUAUAUACAAUAAUGCUGUUGUACAAAUGGUGUUAAAAGAUGGGGAAUAUUGACGUAUUUGAUAAAGUUAUGUUAUAAUGUUCAUAAUUUCCUCAAAGUAGCGGUAAUAGAUGGUCGAGUUCGUAUGUAAGGAGAACCAACUAAAAAUGUGAACAGCUUGAUUGGCUCUUACAGUCUAUUCAUCAAAGUUUGGAUGUCUGGAACCAAUGGAAAGUGUACUUUAUGGGCGAAAUUGAAAUUUUUUGGCUCUAUAACUAUAGUACCACACGUCUUUAUCUAAAUAAAAAAAAUAUGCGUUAAACUCACUCUAAAUAUGUACGGCAAGAAGUUAAUAGAUUUUGCGUAAGACUUUGGGCAACAAAGAUACAUAUUUUUAUAGAUCAUCCAUACGCUACAAGUUUAGGAUUCUGAGUUAAGAGGCGUAUAUUUUUAUAGAUCAUCCAUACCCUACAAGGUUAGGAUUCUGAGUUAAGAGGCGUAAGGAGGUUUAUUGGAAUCUCUUUCAUUUAUAUACUAACAAAGUUAAAAAAAAAAUCAUAGAUAUUGCCUUUAUUUGAAUAGUUUUUGUACACAUUGUUGGAAUAACCCCAUUAAUUGUUGUUAUUUGUAAUUUCAUUUGAAUGACAAAUGGUUGGUGGUUGCUGGUGAAGAGAAUCAAGAAGCCAGUAAGCAGGAGUAUUGGAAAAGGAGGGUGAUUGAGGUGGUUUUCCCUAAUAAGUCUGUAAAUCCUCCAAAGUAAGUAAUUUUUGGAUUAAUUUUAUGUUUUUGUAGCUUUUGUUAUCUUAAUUUUACUUGGUUUUAAUAUGUUUUUUCUUAUUUAAUAGUCUUUACAACUUGUCUGACCUGGAAAAAGGUUAUGAUGAUAGCCAAAUUCCAAUACUCAGAACAAUUCCUAUAAAAGAAGAACCAACACAUGAUUUGACAGCUUCUAUAACCGUUGUUGUAGCGGCUUUUGCAAAAAAUCAAGAGAAGGAUAUUUCUUCUCCUACACCUAGAAGAAAUACCAAAGCUAAUGAAUGAAUGUGGCAUGACUACCAAUGCUGCAACUGCUGUUUCUCUCAAUAUUGCCAUGUCUAGCCAGUGGAUCCCUUGCCUAGGACAAAACCGGAUAAGAUAAUUAACAAGCCCAUUAAUGAAUGAUUAAUGAAUGUCAAGCUCCCCAUGCAGGAUCUUGACAAAGUUUUUGGCCAAAGUCAAUGACAAAUUUUGUGCCCUUGAUAAUAACUAUGAGAAGUGAUUUGAUUAAUGAACAACAAACCCUCUUUCUUCAGGUAGAAACUACAAACUUUAGAGAGAGCAAGUCAACAAUAGCCUAUUCCACUUCAGAGCUUGAUAUGGAAAAUAUUAAGAAACUGAUUAGCAAAUAUGAAGUACCUGACAAUGUAGAAGGAAAGCCCUUGGUUAUUUUUUAGUUGGUUUUCAGAUAUGAUCCAACCAGCUUGCAUAUGUUGGCCAUACAUCCUCGAUGACUAGUCACAAAGAUAACAUCAAUUACUGCAAUUCCCUGAUCAAGCAACAUGUAGAAAAACUGAGUUUAUGGUUGAUGAAAUCUUACAAAAUAAAAUCAUCAUAGUAUUACACAGUGCAAGUUUGAUAAAGAACCAAAAAUCUAUUCAAGUGCAGCUUAACACCUUGUGUUUUCUUUAAUAAACCUAAGGGAUGCCGUAAUGGCUCCUCUUGUCACUUCCUGCAUGAUAUAUCUGGUAAAAAGAGAUCUGGGAGGACAUCAAAAGGUCGAGAUUCAAAAAACUGAAGGAAAGUGGGGUACAUUAAUAUGGCAUGACUCAUAGAAGUUUUCUUUUCUUUAUACAGGGAUUUACUAGUGACAAAGCAGUUUGAACAAAUGUGCAACUGCUUUGUCACUAGUAGUUCCCUGUAUAAAGAAAAGAAAACCUCGUUGAGUCAUGCCAUAUUAAUGUUCCCCACUUUACUUCAGUCUCUUCGAAUCCCGACCUUCUAAUGUCCUCCCAGAUCUCUUUUUACAGAAAUAUAUCAUGCAGGAAGUGAAAAAAGGAGCCAUUACGUCAUCCCGUAGGUUUGUUAAAGAAAACACAAGGUGUCAAGGUGCACAUAAUUUGUUUUUGGUUCUUUAACAAACAUGCCUCCUGUGUAGUACCAUGAGGAUACAUACUUUGUAAGCUUUCAUCAACCACAAACUCAGUUUUUUCUCUACGUUGCUUGAUUAGCGAAUUGGAGUAAUUGAUAAUAUCGUUGUGACUAGUCAUCGAGGAUGUAUGACCAACAUUUUGUGAAAGAGACAGUUAAGGCUGCAAGCUGGUUGGACCAUAUCUGGAAACUAACUCAAAAAUAACCAAGGAUUUUUCUUUUGCAUUGACAAGUACUCUAUGUUUGCUAAUCAAGUUUCUUAAUAUUUUUUGCAGAUCAAGCUAUGAAGUGGAAUAGGCUAUUGACUUGGUCUCUCUAAUGUUUGCAGUUUCAACCUGAGGAGGGGUCCCUUGUUCAUUGACCAAAUCACUUCUCAUAGUUAUUGUCAAGGGCACAUAUUUUGCCAUUGGCUUUGGCAUAACACUUUGUCCUGAUCCUGCAUGGGGAGCUUGGCAUUCAUUAAUGGGCUUGUUGAUUACCUUAUCCAGUUUUGUCGAGGACAAAGGAACCAGUAGAUCCACUAGCCUAGACAUGACAAUUUUGCGAGAAACUACAGUUGCCGCAUUGGUAGUCAUGCCACAUUCAUUCAUCAGCUUUGGUAUUUGUUCUAGGUUGAAGAUAAACCUAAUCAAUAAGUUGGCAUCAAUCAGACUAUCCUGCUCUUGACGUUUUACCAGAGCAGCUACAGUUGUGGCUACAUAAACUGUCACAUCAUGUGUGGAUUCUUCUUCUGUAGGCAUUGUUCUGACUACUGGAGUUUGGCUAUCAUCAUAACCUUGUUCCAGGUUAGACACAUUGUAAGGAAUGUUAAAUAAGAAAAAUAAAAGAUUAAAAACAAGUAAAAUUAAGAUAACGAAAGCUACAAAACAUAAAAAAAAUCCAAAAAUUACUUACUUUGGAGGAAUUGCAGAUCGAUUAGGGAAAACCGCCUGAAUCACCCUCAUUUUCCUAUUCUCCAACUGGUUUCUUUACUUUCUUCCAGCAACCACUAGCCAUUUCUCAUUCAAAUGGAAUUACAAAUUACAACAACAAAUUCGCUUGGUCAUCAUACUUGAAGGUAGUGGCAGCUCUAAGGCUAGGGUGUUUGUGAACACUUAAGUACGCAUGGCGAAGCCGAUGGAUCUAGGGUAUCAUGUAAGGGAAUCUAGGAACAAUUUAAGCAUGAAUUGCCAAGUCAAAGGAUCUAGGUAUUCAGUAAGGGUUCUCGAGAACAAUUUAAACAUGAAUGGCCAAGUUGACGAAUCUAGGGUAUUUGGGUAAGGGUUUUCAUGAACAAUUUAAGCAUGAAUCGCCAAGUCAGCGAAUCUAGGCUACUGGGUUAUGAUUUUCUGAACUAAGCCUCCAGAUCUACGCUAUCCAUCCGCUGCUAUCGGGAUGCACACAAGAUCAAAUCCCACUCAGCCGCGCGUAUGUAAUAACUCACAAAUUACAGAAGGAAAAUCACAUAGAUGCGACACAAGGGACCACUCCGCCGCUCUUAUUUAAUAACUCACAAAUCACACAGACGACACACAAUGUAAAAUCUCACUCCGCCGCUCUUAUGUAAUAAUUCACAAUUCACACAAAGGAGUUGACUUGUACUAAGCAAGCCGAGGUUAGGGUUUGGGUAAGAUUUUUGCUCAAACUUUACAUUUAUAUAGAAGAGCCAAGUUGAGGACGAUCAAGGGCAAAUUUGUCAUUUCAUAAAUAUACUAGAAUGUUUGUUUUUAUGUUAUGGCAUCAAAAAAAAUGGUAAUAGAUUUAUAAGAACAUAUAACCAAAUAUCUUUUCUCAAAUUUUCUGUGUAUCCUAAUGAUGUGACAUUUAAUUUGGACACAAAUUUUCUAUAGAUUUUUUUUUCUUUUAUUGUAGUGUGAUAUUUCCAUAAACAAAAAAAUAUCCAUUAAACAAUGGCAUUUUAGUAAC